rnacentral:rRNA from 1 species
GAUGAACGCUGGCGGCGUGCCUAAUACAUGCAAGUCGAGCGAACAGAUGAGGAGCUUGCUCCUCUGACGUUAGCGGCGGACGGGUGAGUAACAGGUGGAUAACCUACCGAUAAGACUGGGAUAACGUCGGGAAACCGGAGCUAAUACCGGAUAAUAUAUUGAACUGCAUGGUUCAAUAGUGAAAGAUGGUUUUGCUGUCACUUAUAGAUGGAUCCGCGCCGGAUUAGCUAGUUGGUAAGGUAACGGCUGACAAAGGCAACGAUGCGUAGCCGACCUGAGAGGGUAUACGGCCACACCGGAACUGGGUCACGGUCCAGACUCCUACGGGGAGACGCAGUAGGGAAUCUUCCGCAAUAGCAGAAAGCCUGACGGAACAACGCCGCGUAAGUGAUGAAAGUCUUCGGAUCGUAAAACUCUGUUAUUAGGGAAGAACAAAUGUGUAAGUAACUAUGCACGUCUUGACGGUACCUAAUCAGAAAGCCACGGCUAACUACGUG